AGUGGGCGGGAAUCGAACCCACAACCUUCCGCUUACCGGGCAGAUGCCAUGUCCACUAGGCUACCC